rnacentral:lncRNA from 1 species
GGAUCCUUCGACGCUUUGGUGUCGGAGGUUCCUCAGCCCGGCUGGGCCGGAGGUUGCUCGACCCGGCCACCCCGGGAGCUCCUCCUUAGCCUGGUCCAGUCGGAGGUUCCUCGGCCUGGCUGCGUUCUCCCGCCAUCCUCGGACCCGGGAGGGUCGGAGGUUCCCACCUUUCCUCGCUCGUGGACCUCCGCCGGUGUCUCAGUCCCUGCACACACUUAACACGACCAGACGAGUCGUUAACAUUAGCAUUUCCCGAUGAAGGAUAUCCUCCGACGCUUCAGGCGUCGGAGGUUCCUCAGGUGAAGGAUAACCUCCGACGCUGCCAGGGGGAAGGAUG